rnacentral:rRNA from 2 species
GGCGAUCAGAUACCGCCCUAGUUCUGACCGUAAACGAUGCCAACUAGCGAUCCGCCGGCGGAUUCAUUCGCCCUGGUGGGGAGCUUCCCGGAAACGAAAGUCUUCCGGUUCCGGGGGAAGUAUGGUUGCAAAGCUGAAACUUAAAGGAAUUGACGGAAGGGCACCACCAGGAGUGGAGCCUGCGGCUUAAUUUGACUCAACACGGGGAAACUCACCCGGCCCGGACACCGUAAGGAUUGACAGAUUGAUAGCUUUUUCAUGAUUCGGUGGAUGGUGGUGCAUGGCCGUUCUUAGUUCGUGGAGCGAUUUGUCUGGUUUAUUCCGAUAACGAGCGAGACUCUGGCCUACUAAAUAGUUGGCGCAUUGACACUGUGCGCACAACACUUCUUAGAGGGAUUUUCGGUGUUCAGCCGCAAGAAAUUGAGCAAUAACAGGUCUGUGAUGCCCUUAGAUGUCCGGGGCUGCACGCGCGCUACACUGGCAAAAUCAGCGUGCUUGUCCUUCCCCGAAAGGGGUUGGUAAACCCGUGAAAAUUUGCCGUGAUUGGGAUCGGACAUUGCAAUUAUUGUCCGUGAACGAGGAAUUCCUUGUAGGGGCGAGUCAUCAACUCGCUCUGAUUACGUCCCUGCCCUUUGUA